rnacentral:rRNA from 1 species
CGGACGGGUGAGGAAUACAUCGGAAUCUACUCUGUCGUGGGGAGUAACGUAGGGAAACUUACGCUAAUACCGCAUACGACCUACGGGUGAAAGGCAGGGGAGUCUUCGGACCUUGCGCGAUUGAAUGAGCCGAUGUCGGAUUAGCUAGUUGGCGGGGUAAAGGCCCACCAAGGCGACGAUCCGUAGCUGGUCUGAGAGGAUGAUCAGCCACACUGGAACUGAGACACGGUCCAGACUCCUACGGGAGGCAGCAGGC